rnacentral:rRNA from 1 species
GCUAUGUCGGUGCUGGAGGCGGGGGUAGUGGGUGGGGGGCAAGCGUUGCCCGGAUUUAUUGGGCGUAAAGGGCGCGGAGGCGGUUUGGCAAGUCCGCUGUGAAAGCCCUGGGCUCAACCUAGGGAUGGCGGUGGGAACUGCGUGGCUAGAGUCCGGAAGAGGGGUGUGGAAUUCCUGGUGUAGCGGUGAAAUGCGCAGAGAUCAGGAAGAACACCGAUGGCGAAGGCAGCACUCUGGGACGGUACUGACGCUGAGGCGCGAAAGCGUGGGGAGCGAACAGGAUUAGAUACCCUGGUAGUC